CCUUUGAUGGGGCCUCAUUUUGACCUAUAACCUUUCAAGUAGAAUCAGAUUGCUGCACUCUGUCACUGAGGUCAGAGUUCAAAAUGGUUCCUCUUGGUCCCAAGUGAUGCAAUCAUCCUUUUUCCGGGCAUCGCCUGUUUUACGCCCAGUAGCAUGCUUGAAUGAAGGGCUACCAAGUUUGUUCAAAUGAAUGACCUCGAUGAACUUUCAUGAUCACAGGGGUCAAAUGUGUUUAAAUCUUUCAAAAAUUUCUCAUUGACCUAGGGUUAUGAAAUUGGGUCAGCAGCAUGCUGGGAUAAAGGGCUGUCAUCUUUGUUCAAAUGAAUGACAUUGACCUUCAUUCACAGGGGUCAAAUAUGCUACAACAACAGACAGUUAUAAAUUCCAAUUAAUUGAAAUUAAUGCUUCAAACUUAGAAACAAUAAAAACUUUGUAAGUAUGCA